AUGGGACAUGUGCAGCCCAGCAAUGUCCUUGUAGAAAGCUGCACUGCUCUCUGGUUGAGCGAUGGAGGUCCUGGUCUGGUCACGUCCCCCCUCCAGGUCUGUCUGUUUCAUGUGUCCCUGAUGGCCAGGAGACACCCCUCCUGGGCCAGCCAUGCCACCCUCCCCGUUGUGACAUGGGCCGCCACCAAUGUUCUGCCCACUGUGACAUGGCCACCACAUCACCAGGGAGGUGCCAGGAGCUGGUGGCUGCCUGCUGUGAUAUGGCCACCACAUCACCAGGGCUGCUGUAGCACUGAGACAUGGCUGUCACCUUCCACCAUUCAGGCUGUGAUACUCUGUCAUACGUUACUCUGGAGGCUAGAAAAGUUGGCAGAAGUUCAAGGAGUGUUUUUCUGGGGCAUGGAAAUCAGCAGAGGGCUACUGAACGUGAGGGUACCGCCUCGAGCUCAGGGAGCCCCUGCAGUCACAAGCUGCUGGACCCUGAAAGACAAUUUGGGAAAGCACUGCUACAUCACUGCCUCGUCCUUAAAGCACUGCCCACUGCUGGCAACUGGGCACUACACGAGAAAACACACCACAAUAUUAUGACUGACUUUCACCUGACAUGAGAGGAGGCCAUACUUCGUGUCAGUACCUCAAUGCAUUAAAACCGCGCUUGCUGAACGGCCUGAAAGGCCACAGAAGUUUCUUCUGACCAGUGACUGAUCUGUAAGGACCACAGGAUAUCAGAGAUACUCUAAGACAACGAAAGGAAGGCAGGCUGCGGCAGCACCCCCGAUCCAGCACGUUUUAUGACGCCCAAGGCAGCAUGGUUUGUCUCAUCACCAGGCCUACGAAAUCCUCCGAACAAAAGGACAGGCUCCCUGGUUCCUAGGGAGACUGAAGGAGGACAGGGGUGACAGAAAAAAGGGAGCUCCAUAAAUCACCAGUGUGUGAAGGGUGGAAAAAAAAUCAACACUGAUCCGAAAAAAAUUUACAUUUUUCAGUUAUCGGGUUAGAAGUAGAUGUGGUAAUGCAGAACAGCAGGGAGCUCGAGACGUCACGCCGUCCGUCCUGCACCCAUCUAGGGGGCCGGGCCAGCUCCAUGCACAGCACUGCCUUCUGGCACACAUCCCUGUGUGACAACAUAAAACCUCCACGUUCUGCUCUGCAGAACUACUACUGCCUACUAUUUGACCCCCAUUUGUACAGAUGAUUUCUCCGUAUGUCCAACAGAUCGCAAUGGUACCUUCUGAUUACCUUUCUUUCUUUUCCAGACCCUUUCUCCAACUCAUCUAUUUAAUUUUGAAACCU
rnacentral:lncRNA from 1 species